CUGCAGACUUACAAUGACCAUUAUUAUGUGGGUUCCACAGACUUGUGACCUCUGCUUGAGCAUUAAACACGUACAAACAGAUUGUUCCAGCGUCUAAAAACAAAUGCAUUCUUGUGUGCGCACGUGUAUGGCUGUGCCUGUGUGUGUGUGCAUGUGUAUGGCCGUGCCUGUGUGUGUGUGCAUGUGUAUGGCCGUGCCUGUGUGUGUGCAUGUGUAUGGCCGUUCUUGUGUGUGCGUGCAUGUGUAUGGCCGUGCCUGUGUGUGUGCAUGUGUAUGGCCAUGCCUGUGUGUGUGCAUGUGUAUGGCCGUGCCUGUGUGUGUGCGUGCAUGUGUAUGGCCGUGCCUGUGUGCAUGCACGUGUAUGGCCGUUGUGUGUGCAUGCAUGUGUAUGGCCAUGCCUGUGUGCAUGCAUGUGUAUGGCCAUGCCUGUGUGUGUGCAUGCAUGUGUAUGGCCGUUCUUGUGUGUGCAUGCAUGUGUAUGGCCGUGCCUGUGUGUGUGCUCCCCGCCCCCCGCCCGGAUCCCCAAUAUAGCAAGAAGCAAAGCAAGCCUGCAUCCGUAU
rnacentral:lncRNA from 1 species